ensembl:lncRNA
UAGUGCAUACACAGCGCAUAGUCCAUAUACAUAGUGCAUACACAAGCACAUAGUCCAUAUACAUAGUGCAUACAUCACAUACAUAGUGCAUACACAGCGCAUAGUCCAUAUACAUAGUGCACACACAAGCACAUAGUCCAUAUACAUAGUGCAUACACAGCGCAUAGUCCAUAUACAUAGUGCACACACAAGCACAUAGUCCAUAUACAUAGUGCACACACAAGCACAUAGUCCAUAUACAUAGUGCACACACAAGCGCAUAGUCCAUAUACAUAGUGCAUACACAGCGCAUAGUCCACAUACACAGUGCAUACACAUAGCGCAUAGUCCACAUACAUAGUGCACACACAAGCACAUAGUCCAUAUACAUAGUGCAUACACAGCGCAUAGUCCAUAUACAUAGUGCACACACAAGCACAUAGUCCAUAUACAUAGUGCACACACAAGCGCAUAGUCCACAUACAUAGUGCAUACACAUAGCGCAUAGUCCACAUACAUAGUGCACACACAAGCGCAUAGUCCACAUACAUAGCGCAUAGUCCACAUACAUAGUGCACACACAAGCGCAUAGUCCACAUACAUAGUGCAUAGUCCAUAUACAUAGUGCACACACAAGCGCAUAGUCCAUAUACAUAGUGCAUACACAGCGCAUAGUCCAUAUACAUAGUGCAUACACAUAGCGCAUAGUCCACAUACAUAGUGCAUACACAGUGCAUAGUCCAUAUACAUAGUGCACACACAAGCGCAUAGUCCAUAUACAUAGUGCAUACACAGCGCAUAGUCCACAUACAUAGUGCAUACACAGCGCAUAGUCCAUAUACAUAGUGCAUACACAGUGCAUAGUCCAUAUACAUAGUGCACACACAAGCGCAUAGUCCAUAUACAUAGUGCAUAUACAUAGUCCACAGUCCAUAUUCAUAGUGUAUAGGGCUCUUGAUUCAGGGCUUUAAAAUGUGGCUUAUAAUUUAAAAACGUUUAAGACAAAAUAUAUUUUAUUACAAUCAACAGAGAAAGGGCAGGAUAUACAUUCUCUUAGGUUGAAAAAAGCAGUCAGUUCCUUUUUUUUUUUAGCUGUAUAGUAUUAUAGAUUAAACUUUUAGAAAAAAAGUAAAAAUAUGUAUAGUUUUGUUCAUGGCAUAGACUUUAAAAAGUCAAUGUUCAGCAUAGUCUGAGAAGUUGGGGGUGACGAUAUGCAUCUCUGUCACGUUUGUGCUGCUUUGCCCUGAGGGGGCUCUGUCAUCUCAGUAGCAAGGUCUCCCAUCUCUCUGAAUGUGCUGUCACUAUGGUAAAAGAAAAGGCACUCAUCUCUUUCCC